rnacentral:rRNA from 1 species
GAUGAACGCUGGCGGCGUGCUUAACACAUGCAAGUCGAGCGGGCAAUUUAUCUAGCACUGAUUACUUCAAAUGGCUAUCGCCAGUGUAAUCAUGAAUUUCUACCUUUAAUAAAGAAAAAAGAAAUUCAUGUACGCAAAUAGUGAUAACACAUUUUAGUGGAGUGAUGAGUGCUGGAUAAAUUGCUAGCGGCGGACGGGUGCGUAACACGUGGGUAACCUGCCCCUAUCACUGGGAUAACACACUGAAAAGUGUGCUAAUACCAGAUAACAUAAGCUUUUGGCAUCAUUAGCUUAUCAAAGAAUUUCGGAUAGGGAUGGGCCCGCGUCUGAUUAGCUAGUUGGUGAGGUAACGGCUCACCAAGGCAACGAUGCGUAGCCGACCUGAGAGGGUGAUCGGCCACAUUGGAACUGAGACACGGUCCAGACUCCUACGGGAGGCAGCAGUGGGGAAUAUUGCAC